rnacentral:rRNA from 1 species
UAUAGCGGUGAGGCUCCACCUGUUCCCUUUCCGAACACAGAAGUUAAGCUCACCUGCGCCGACAAUACUUGCUUGGCGACGAGUUGGGAAGAUAGG